GUGAGGGGGGUCCCGCUGGAUUAACCUGGAGUUUUCUCGUGCUGCUCAGGUGCAGAUCUAUGAGCUGGAGGAGCACAAAAUUGAGACGUGGAGAGAGGUGUACCUGCAGGACUCCUUCAAGCCUCUCGUCUGCAUCUCCCCCAACGCCAGCCUCUUUGAUGCCGUCUCCUCCCUGAUCCGGAAUAAAAUCCACCGCCUCCCCGUCAUCGACCCCGACUCGGGCAACACUCUCUACAUCCUCACCCACAAACGCAUCCUCAAGUUCCUCAAACUCUUUGUGAGUCCCCCUCCCCUCCCCGCACAG